ACUCCUACGGGAGGCAGCAGUGGGGAAUAUUGCACAAUGGGCGCAAGCCUGAUGCAGCCAUGCCGCGUGUAUGAAGAAGGCCUCGGUUGUAAAGUACUUCUAGCAGUGAGGAAGGCGGAGUCGUUAAUAGCGGCCUCGCUUGACGUUAGCUGCAGAAGAAGCACCGGCUAACUCCGUGCCAGCAGCCGCGGUAAUACGGAGGGGUGCGAGCGUUAAUCGGAAUUACUGGGCGUAAAGCGCAUGCAGGUGGUUUGUUAAGUCAGAUGUGAAAGCCCGGGGCUCAACCUCGGAAUUGCAUUUGAAACUGGCAAACUAGAGUACUGUAGAGGGGGUAGAAUUUCAGGUGUAGCGGUGAAAUGCGUAGAGAUCUGAAGGAAUACCGGUGGCGAAGGCGGCCCCUGGACAGAUACUGACACUCAGAUGCGAAAGCGUGGGGAGCGAAACAGGAUUAGAUACCCUGGUAGGAUAGCG
rnacentral:rRNA from 1 species